ACUUAUUUACUAUCUUAUAAAUAGAAACUGGGGGUCUGUAUCAAAUUAUCAAAUUUACGUCACUUUGUUUAAUAUAAAAGCAUCGAAUCCCGCACAGUAAAUAUCAAUCACUCUCGCAGUCGUCUAUAAGGAGCUAUCAACAUUUAGCAGUUAACAUGAAGAAUAUUGUUGUAAUUUCGGCUUUCGUGAUGAUGAUGGUCCUCGUCGCUCAUCUUGGCACCGUGGAAGCGGGAGGAUUUAGUUUGGGCUGCACCAUAUCCUGUGGAAUAUGGAACGCUUGCCGUGGAAAGUCCGCUUUUUCUGGAAGUCUUACGCAAUGUGGUCCAGAACCUUCAGGCUGCCGCUGUACAUCUUUUUAUUGGGAGUAACGCAAAAUCGACAUUUUUGUACCAAUUAUUUAUUUGUAAUUUAAGAUUAUUUAUUUUAAUAAAAAUUUUCUCAAUUUGCAAACAA